CACUGGCAAAAGAAAUUCUGCUUGUUCAUGUAAGAAGGGAAGCUUUUAGAAAACUUUCGGAAGUAUGAAUACUGAGACCAUUUUAAGGCUAUCUUUUAACAAACAGCCAAAGCAAUAAAACCAAUACUAAAUCCAUAAAACAAAAGGAUUGGAUUGCUUAAGUAAAAAGAGGCCAGAGUGAAAGCCUGACAGGACAAAGAAGACCAGGAAUGAGGGAAGAAAAA